UUUCCAAGAUAAAACUCCAAACACAUCAUGAAACUAUAUGACUAAGGGAGAAAAAAGACAUUUUCAGAUAAGCAAGAUCUCAAAUAAUUUGCCUCCCAUGCAACCUUUCUUGUGAAACUACUUGAGGAUGUGCUCCAUCAAAACAAGAUAGUAAACCAAGACAUAGGAAGAUAUGAAGUACAGGAAACAGAGUCAACACAGGAAGGAGAAUAAGGAAUUUCCCUCCAGGAUGGCAAAGGAGAUCCCAGGGUGAUAGCUGCACCAGGAGUUGAGAGUACCCAGUCUAGAUUGGAGCUGUGUGAUUCAAGAGACAGACAUGUUAAAGGAUGUUUGAGCAAUACCCCUGAAGCCAUGGAAUGGUUUUGUGAAUCUGAGGACAGAAUGGCCAGAAUGAGAGCUCCAUGCGGGCAGAAAUUUUUGUCUGCUUUGUUCAAUGCUGUGUCCCUAGUGCCUAGAACAGUAUCUGGCACAUGCUCUUAUUCUAUGGCUGACCUUUCUGCCAGCAAGUUUUCCUUGUGUUUAAAAGCACUACGAUUGAAGCAUAAAUGACAAAUGGAAAGAUGAAAUACAGAAGCCCCACACUUACAAGCCCUUCCAUAUGCCAGGCAUGUUCCUUAGGUUAUCAUAUUUAGCCCUCAUGGCCUCCCUCCCUUUGUCUGCAACAUCAAGAAAUUCAUACAAUGUUCUCACAUAUUUGUGGGACCUAAAAAUUAAAACAAUGGAACUUAUGGA